rnacentral:piRNA from 1 species
UGCCACGCCAAGCAGCCACCGCAAAG